ACACGCAUAUUUCUUCUCAAAUCGUAUAAAUCUUUCGCCUUUUACUAAAGAUUUCCGUGGGGAGGAACACAAUGAGUAUAAAUUAAUAUUUUGAUGCCUUGCUUUUACGGUGCU
rnacentral:snRNA from 1 species